rnacentral:piRNA from 1 species
AAUGUAUUUACUGUAUAAUCCCGGAAUAUA